AGUGAACGCUGGCGGUAGGCCUAACACAUGCAAGUCGAACGGCAGCACAGUAAGAGCUUGCUCUUACGGGUGGCGAGUGGCGGACGGGCGAGGAAUACAUCGGAAUCUACUUUUUCGUGGGGGAUAACGUAGGGAAACUUACGCUAAUACAGCAUACGACCUACGGGUGAAAGCAGGGGAUCUUCGGACCUUGCGCGAUUGAAUGAGCCGAUGUCGGAUUGGCUAGUUGGCGGGGUAAAGGCCCACCAAGGCGCCGAUCCGUAGCUGGUCUGAGAGGCUGAUCAGCCACACUGGAACUGAGACACGCUCCAGAGUCCUACGGGAGGCAGCAGUGGGGAAUAGUGGACAACGGGCGCAAGCCUGAUCCAGCCAUACCGCGCGUGUGAAGGCGGCCUUCGGGUUGUAAAGCCCUUUUGUUGGGAAAGAACAGCAGCAGGUUAAUACCCCGCUGUUCUGACGGUACCCAAAGAAUAAGCACCGGCUAACUUCGUG
rnacentral:rRNA from 1 species